rnacentral:rRNA from 1 species
UACGUAGGGUGCAAGCGUUGUCCGGAAUUAUUGGGCGUAAAGAGCUCGUAGGCGGUCUGUCACGUCGGCUGUGAAAACCCGGGGCUCAACCCCGGGCCUGCAGUCGAUACGGGCAGACUAGAGUGCGGUAGGGGAGACUGGAAUUCCUGGUGUAGCGGUGGAAUGCGCAGAUAUCAGGAGGAACACCGGUGGCGAAGGCGGGUCUCUGGGCCGAUACUGACACUGAGAAGCGAAAGCGUGGGGAGCGAACAGG